GACAGAGGUGGCUAGCGUUGUUCGGAUUCAUUGGGUGUAAAGGGUGCGUAGGCGGUUUGGAAAGUCAGAUGUGAAAGCCCACAGCUCAACUGUGGAACUGCAUCUGAAACUUCUGAACUAGAGUGCGAGAGAGGUAAAGGGAAUUCCCGGUGUAAGGGUGAAAUCUGCAGAGAUCGGGAGGAACACCAGUAGCGAAGGCGCUUUACUGGCUCGUAACUGACGCUGAGUGCACGAAGGCAUGGGGAGCAAACGGG
rnacentral:rRNA from 1 species